CCUACUACCAUACCCUCUUCAAACCAGUGCACCUGGCACCUACUACCAUACCCCCCUCAAACCGGUGCGCCUGGCACCUACCACCAUACCCUGUUUAAACCAGUGCACCUGGCACCUACUACCAUACCCUGUUUAAACCAGUGCACCUGGCACCUACUACCAUACCCCCCUCAAACCGGUGCACCUGGCACCUACUACCAUACCCUGUUCAAACCAGUGCACCUGGCACCUACUACCAUACCCCCCUCAAACCGGUGCACCUGGCACCUACUACCAUACCCUGUUUAAACCGGUGCACCUGGCACCUACUACCAUACCCUGUUUAAAGGCACUUAAAUAUUUUGUCUUGCCCAUUUACCCUCUUAUUUAUUUUUAUUUUCAGACCGGCUUCCGGCAGAAGGUGCUGGUCAGAGGGAAGUUCGGCCAUGUGGUUGGGGAAUGCUGAGUAAGGUUGUGUAUUGUUGGGGAAUGCUGAGUAAGGUUGUGUAUUGCUGGGGAAUGCUGAGUAAGGUUGUGUAUUGCUGGGGAAUGCUGAGUAAGGUUGUGUAUUGCUGGGGAAUGCUGAGUAAGGUUGUGUAUUGCUGGGGAAUGCUGAGUAAGGUUGUGUAUUGCUGGGGAAUGCUGAGUAAGGUUGUGUAUUGCUGGGGAAUGCUGAGUAAGGUUGUGUAUUGCUGGGGAAUGCUGAGUAAGGUUGUGUAUUGCUGGGGAAUGCUGAGUAAGGUUGUGUAUUGCUGGGGAAUGCUGAGUAAGGUUGUGUAUUGCUGGGGAAUGCUGAGUAAGGUUGUGUAUUGCUGGGGAAUGCUGAGUAAGGUUGUGUAUUGCUGGGGAAUGCUGAGUAAGGUUGUGUAUUGCUGGGGAAUGCUGAGUAAGGUUGUGUAUUGCUGGGGAAUGCUGAGUAAGGUUGUGUAUUGCUGGGGAAUGCUGAGUAAGGUUGUGUAUUGCUGGGGAAUGCUGAGUAAGGUUGUGUAUUGCUGGGGAAUGCUGAGUAAGGUUGUGUAUUGCUGGGGAAUGCUGAGUAAGGUUGUGUAUUGCUGGGGAAUGCUGAGUAAGGUUGUGUAUUCCUGGGGAAUGCUGAGUAAGGUUGUGUAUUGUUUGACGGUAUUUUGUGCUGAUAAGACGUAACUUAUUUUGACACUUUUAAUUAGUGCUUCCCUUGAACUUGCAUCAGAUCCUGUUUUUGUUUUUGUUUGUUUGUCUAAUUACAUGCACAUAUGUAAGCAUGGAAUGGGCAAGGAUGGCAAGGAUGGCAAGGAUGGCAAGGAUGGCAAGGAUGGCAAGGAUGGCAUAGUGUCAGGAGGUGCAUGGGCAAAGGGCACGUAUGUCAGGAGGACUCAAUAAGUGUGGAGGAGUUAAGCUGGAGUGCCACCAGAGAAGAAGAGAAGAAGAGGAGAAAGGGAUAACUGGGCCCCAAAUCUGUCUUCACCAGCAGGCUCUCCAGAGGGUGGUGAGGUCUGCACAACACAUCACCGGGGGCAAACUACCUGCCCUCCAGGACACCUACACCACCCGAUGUCACAGGAAGGCCAAAAAGAUCAUCAAGGACAUCAACCACCCGAGUCACUGCCUGUUCACACCGCUACCAUCCAGAAGGCGAGGUCAGUAUAGGUGCAUCAAAGCUGGGACCGAGAGAUUGAGAAACAGCUUAUAUCUCAAGGCCAUCAGACUGCUAAACAGCCAUCACUAACUCAGAGGCUGCUGCCUACAUUGAGACCCAAUCACUGUCCACUUUAAUAAAUGGAUCACUAGUCACUUUAUACAAUGCACAUAAUGCCACUUUAAUAAUGUUUACAUAUCUUACAUUACUCAUAUCACAUGUAUAUAGUGUAUUUUAUACCAUCUAUUGCAUCUUGCCUAUGUCGCUCGGCCAUCGCUCAUCCAUCUACUUAUAUGUACAUAUUCUCAUUCAUCUCUUUAGAUUUGUGUGUAUUAGGUAGUUGUUGGGGAUUGUUAGAUUACUUGUUAUUAGAUAUUACUG